rnacentral:rRNA from 1 species
UACGUAGGGUGCAAGCGUUAAUCGGAAUUACUGGGCGUAAAGCGUGCGCAGGCGGCUUUGCAAGACAGAUGUGAAAUCCCUCGGCUCAACCGAGGACGUGCAUCCGAAACUGCAGAGCUUGAGUAUGGAAGAGGGUCGCGGAAUCCCCGGUGUAGAGGUGAAAUUCGUAGAUAUCGGGGGGAACACCAGUGGCGAAGGCGGCGACCUGGGCCAAUACUGACGCUGAGGUGCGAAAGCGUGGGGAGCAAACAGG